rnacentral:tRNA from 1 species
UGGGGUAUGGCCAAGCGGUAAGGCAGCGGUUUUUGGUACCGCGAUCCUAGGUUCGAAUCCUAGUACCCCAGCCA